UUUUCCGUGGUUCAGUUGGUAGAGCUUUGUGCUAACAAUGCAAAGGUUGUGUGCUCAAAUCCCAGAGGGAACU